rnacentral:rRNA from 1 species
AUUGAACGCUGGCGGCAGGCCUAACACAUGCAAGUCGAGCGAGCGGCGGACGGGUGAGUAAUGUCUGGGGAACUGCCCGAUGGAGGGGGAUAACUACUGGAAACGGUAGCUAAUACCGCAUACCAUCGGAUGUACCCAUAUGGGAUUAGCUAGUAGGUGAGGUAAUGGCUCACCUAGGCGACGAUCCCUAGCUGGUCUGAGAGGAUGACCAGCCACACUGGAACUGAGACACGGCCCAGACUCCUACGUGAGGCAGCAGUGGGGAAUAUUGCACAAUGGGCGCAAGCCGGAUGCAGCCAUGCCGCGUGUAUGAAGAAGGCCCUAGGGUUGUAAAGUACUUUCAGCGGGGAGGCGUUACCGGCAGAAGAAGCACCGGCUAACUCCGUGCCAGCAGCCGCGGUAAUUC